CAGGAAACGUUGCAAUUUACGUAAACUUUAGCUUCGAUUUUCUCCUCUUAGACAACUUUUUUUUAAUUCACUCCGCCAAGGCCGUAAGAUAGGUAUGAGCUUGUUUUGUCCAGCAGAAAAUACGUAAAAGCGCCAUAACAAAAAUAUAGAUUAAAAUAUUUAUUAGAAAAGCUAACGUUUCUAUGUUUUCCGCUUUGUAUGUCAUUGCUCUGAAGAUGUCUUAAGUUAAAGACGAAACAUUAGCUUUUCUG